UUACGGUCACAUCACGUUGAAACCCCAGUUCCCGAACCAAGACAGAAGUUAAGCAAUAUCGCGCCUGGUCAGUACCGAGAUGGGUGGCCGCUUGAGUAUACCAAGUGCUGUAAG